AAAAGACUCAUCCGUCCCAAAACGUCUUCCAGGCCAGGCAUAGUGGUUCAUGUCUGGAAUCCCAGCUCUCUGGGAGGCUGAGGUAGGAGGAUCACUUGAGGCCAGGAGUUCAGGGCCUCAACUUAUAAACAAUUUCCAUUGUUUGUAAAUUACUCAGUACAAGCUAUUUUGUUACAGCAGUGGGAACAGACCAAGACAGGACCCAUUUACACCAUUUUUCACUCUUGCUCAAGAUAUGUUUGCCAGUAGUAUUUAUUUACUUAUUGAGACGGAGUCUGGCUCUGUCACCCAGGCUGGAGUGCAGCGGUGUGAUUUCAGCUCACUGCAACUUCUGCCUCCAAAGCUCAAUGGAUUCUCCUGCCUCAGCCUCCUGAAUAACUGGGAUUACAGGCAUGCACUACCAUACCCAACUAAUUUUUUUGUAUUUUUAGGAGAGACAGGGUUUCACCAUGUUGUCCAGGCCGGUCUCAAACUCCUGACCUCAGGUGAUCUAUCCUCCUUGGCCUCCCAAAGUGCUGGGAUUACAGGAAUAAACCACCACGCCCGGCCUAGUAUUUUAUUUCGAAUGUGUGCAUCUAUCAUAAGGAGUAUUGGUCUUGUGUGGGUAUGCCUGCUGCCAGGGAUCUGGCAGAUGUGCUGGUGCCUGGGUUGUUUUGACAUCAAGCAGUGAACCGGAAAGGCUUCUUCCGUUUUCUGUGUGCUGGUGUGGUGGUUAGUCUGAACUAUCAGUGAUAACUACUUAAGCCGGCCUCACUGAGCGUGUGCAAAGACAGCUCAUAAAAGGAACAACUAGAACUACUGCUUAGGGGUAGAUUUUGCACUGGUGGACAGAUCGUCUUGCUUCCAGAUGUCUGAAAAGCAAAAUAGACUGUGUCUCUGCUUCCCCUCUGACGUGGAGGUCGGUGCCACUGGCCUCAGCUGGCUUGUGGGAAUUUUGCAGCAGCAGGCGCCCAUGCCAUCCCUCCUGAGCUGUCUCCUUCGGCAGCACAGCCUGGAAGGUGGAGGAGAAUGCAGGGUGGAUAGAGAAGGGCCUCAAUUCACCUCCUUCAAAUCACUUCAUUUGCCAGGACCGAGGGAGAGUUGCACCUGUGCCCGCCGGAUGGACUAGACGUCGUGGACUGUGGGGUGAUGGGAAUAAAUGGAGAAAGGAAUCAGAACCCCAGGUGACUUGUGACAGCCCCUCUCUUUUCAGCUAGAGCCUGACAAUCCAUACUUUAACAUGUAACAUGACAAAUGUAUGUAAGAGAAAGCGAGGAGAUGUCAUUCCAUGCAAUAAACACUGAACACUGUUCAUUUCAGUA